UACGAAGGGGGCUAGCGUUGCUCGGAAUCACUGGGCGUAAAGCGCACGUAGGCGGGUUGUUAAGUCGGGGGUGAAAUCCUGGAGCUCAACUCCAGAACUGCCUUCGAUACUGGCGACCUUGAGUCCGGGAGAGGUGAGUGGAACUCCGAGUGUAGAGGUGAAAUUCGUAGAUAUUCGGAAGAACACCAGAGGCGAAAGCGGCGACCUGGAUAGGUACUGACACUCAACUGCGAAAGCGUGGGGAGCAAACAGG
rnacentral:rRNA from 1 species